rnacentral:rRNA from 1 species
CGAAGGUAGCAUAAUCAUUAGUCUUUUAAUUGAAGGCUGGUAUGAAUGGUUGGAUGAGAUAUUAACUGUUUCAUUUGAAUUUUUAUUAGAAUUUUAUUUUUUAGUUAAAAAGCUAAAAUAUUAUUAAAAGACGAGAAGACCCUAUAAAUCUUUAUAUUUUAUUUUUAUUAGUUAUUUAGAUGUUUUUAAUUAUUAAUAAAUAAAAUAUUUUAUUGGGGUGAUAUUAAAAUUUAAUAAACUUUUAAUUUUUAAAUACAUAGAUUAAUGAUUUUAUGAUCCAUUAUUAAUGAUUAAAAAUUUAAGUUACUUUAGGGAUAACAGCGUAAUUUUUUUGGAGAGUUCAUAUCGAUAAAAAAGAUUGCGACCUCGAUGUUGGAUUA